rnacentral:rRNA from 1 species
UACAGAGGGGGCAAGCGUUGUUCGGAAUUACUGGGCGUAAAGGGCGCGUAGGCGGCCCGCUAAGUCGAACGUGAAAUCCCCGGGCUCAACCCGGGAACUGCGUCCGAUACUGGCGGGCUUGAAUCCGGGAGAGGGAUGCGGAAUUCCAGGUGUAGCGGUGAAAUGCGUAGAUAUCUGGAGGAACACCGGUGGCGAAGGCGGCAUCCUGGACCGGUAUUGACGCUGAGGAGCGAAAGCGUGGGGAGCGAACAGG